CCCUAGCAAAACAAUGUCUUUCCAUCCUUUUCUUUCAAGUGCAUCUAUUAUAGACAGCAUAUAGUUGGGUAUUUUUGUUGAAUCCGGUCUGACCAUUCCCGCCUUUAGUUGUAGUGUUUCAUUUCUAUAUAAUGUAAUUAUUGGUAUGGUUGGAUUCACUCUGUCAUUUUUCUGUUUGUCACAUCUGAUUUUUGUUCUACUGUUCUGCCUUUUCUCUCUUCUUUUGGGACCAUUGAAUAGUUUUUAGUAUUCUCUUGUAAUACUUCUGUUGGAUUUUUGACCGUACCUCUUUGCGUUAUUAUUAUUAUUUUGGUAGUUACUUUAGGAGUUACAUAUGCAGUAUCCUUAACUUUUCACAGUCUGCUUAGAGUUAUUGUAGUAUGACUUUCACGUACAGUGUUAUAAUCUUGCAGCCCUGUUGUUUCAUUUCCCCAUCCCACAUAGUGGCUUUAAAUGGACCCGCAUUUGUCGUAUUCUUGGUGCUCUUUUUUGUUUCCUAUGCUUUUUCCAUAUGGUGUUAUUUCUUUUCAGCCUGGCAACAAGUUCUCUGUUUUUAUUUCACCUUCAUUUUUUUCCAUAUUCAUUUUUGAAGGAUCUUUUUGUUGGAUUUAAUUCUGGCUAGGUAGCUGUUAUUUUCUUUCAACCUUUUCAACGUGCCAUCCCUUUGUCUUAUGGCUUCCAUUAUUUUGUGAUGAGAAAUCAGCCUUAAUUCUUCUAGUUGUCUGUAAAGUGUCAUUUUUCUGCAGCAGCUUUUCAAGGUUUUAUCUUUGGUUUCCAGCAGUUUGACUGGGAUAUACCUACAUGUGGUUUUCUUUGUGUGUAUCUUGCCUGAGGUUUACUGAACUGCUUGUAUCAGUACAUCAGUUUUUCACCAGUUUGGGGAAAAUUUCAGCCAUAUGUCUUCAAAUAUUUCUUACAUGUAAACUUUCCCGUCCUAUCCUUCUGGGACUCCACUUACACAUAUUUUGGAUGGUUUGAUGCUGUCCCACAGAUCACUGAGUCUGGUCGUUAUUUUUUAAAUAUAUAUUAACUUAUAUUAAAUGGCGAUUUCUUCUUUUAUCUCCAGUCUGCUAUUAAGCCCAUUUAAUACAUUUUUCAUUUCAGAUAUUGUAUUUUUUGAUUCCAGAUUUCUAUUUGGUCCUUUUUUCUCCUGAUCUGUUUGUUCCUGAUCUGUUUGUUCAUUAUAAUCAUACUUUUCUUUAAAACCCUUAAACAUAUUUAUAUUAGCUGCUUUAAAGUUCUAGCCUGCUAAUUCCAACAUUUGGGUCAUCUUAUGGUUGGUUUCUAGUGAUUGCAUCUUCUCUUGACUGUGGGCCCCUUUGCCUCAUUCCUUCUCAUGGAGUGUGGAUGAUGCCAUGUAUUGAGUCUGCAUUGUAUCAUCUUCCUUGAAAUGUGUUCAACCGUUCUGGCAGACGGUUAAAUUAGUGGCAGAUCAUUGUGGUUUUGUCUGGCCGGGUAUAAUCUCUAGUAGAGCAGGUAUAUUUCAGUUUUGAAUUCAGUUUUAGUGUGUACUCCUUUCUCUGGGGCUUAGUCCUAAAAUGUGGCCUUUCUUUGGCCUCAGUUAAAUGUUGAUGCACUCAGGGAGUCUCUUUACCCUGGCUUAGUUGGAUUUCUAGUUUCUCAGGAUUUUGUGGCCUCUGGUAUCACUCACUGUUUUCUCCCAGUUCUGUAGCAGAUGAUCUUUGUUAGGCCUGCUGAAUCUUUCUCUGAGCGUGUGCAGCCCAGUCCUUGGCCAAAGGCCUGCAGUGAACACUCCUGCAAACUGGUGAAAUCCCCUCUUUGCAUGGCUCCUUCUUCUAGCUACUCUGCCCUGCAAAGUCCAGCUGUUUUCUCAGCUCAGCGAGCCUGCUACUCUGCCCGGCUUCCCUCUCCCUGUCAGGUGCUCCAGAGGCAGAAAGUGGGAUGAUCAUGGGACUUGUAAACUUCUCUUCUCUCAAAGAUCAUAGUCUUUGCUACUCCCUGCCUGAAAACAAUUGCCUCAUAUAUUUUGCUUUAUUAUAUACUGGUUUUUGGUAGGAGAGUGAGUCUGGUACCAGUUGCUGUGUCAUGGCUAGCAGUGGAAGCUAUGUGGCUUUAAGUGUUAAGGUAGUUAAGAUGUACGAAAGUUUUAUAGAAACGUUAAGUACCCGUCAUAUAUGUGUAAAGGUUGUGGUUUCUUUAUCCUACAAGCAUUUCUAAUUCUGUAGACAAGACAAAGAUUGGACUUUAAAUACUGGAAACCUUGCCUCUGGUUGGAUCUCCUAAGCUUCUAGUAGCCAGCUGUAUAUAAUGUAUCAUGAAAUUCACUAUGGAUGUAUAUUUUUUUCUUUAUUUCCCUUCUUCCAUCCCCACCCCACUAAUUGUGUUGUAUUAAAAAGCUUUAAAUUUUCCUUUCCUCAGGGAGAACGUUCACGGACAGAGAAAGGAACUCUUCUAAGUGUGUGGAAGGGAAAUGUCCACACGACAUCUUUUUCCCUACAGUAUUUAACUCUCCUUCUAUAAUGGAAUGAAGGCCUGUUUAUUUCCAAAUGGUUAUUUUGGUACUGCUCCAUUCCUAUGGCUUAUCACAUGUUAAAAUCCUUC
rnacentral:lncRNA from 1 species